CUGGCCAGAGAGAAGGCUGAGGAGCAGCCAGCAGCCUCUCCAGUUGUGAUGUGGAAUUUGAAAGAGGAUCCUGGGCCAGGGUCCACAGAAUUGCGUGUGUCCUGCACUGGGUCAUGUUAGCACAGCAUGUUUCCUCACUCUCUGGGAACCCAAACAAAGAAGAGACACCCAUGGCAACCUGAUUGCCAAGCUGUGCCUCCCUCUCAGCCCCCCAGAUCUGGUGUCAUCUUUACAGGUCCUAUCUCCUCCUCGGCAGCCUGUUCUGGAGCUGAGCAGUUCUGAUAGGUGGGUCUCCCACAACACAUGCUUCCUGAUGCAUUACCUAGUACUGUGCUCCUGGAGCAGCAGGAGGUGGUAAAAGGCAGGAGAGAAGAGUUUGGUGUGAAUGGCUGAGGAUACCAGCUUUAGAUAAGGGCUGGUGAGGGAUGGUGGGACACGAAAUGGAGAUGUACACAGAGACUGAGAGGGCGUCUACUUCAAAAAAAAAAAAAAAGAGAGAGAGAGAGAUCUGCAGCAAAUAUGGCAAAAUGUUUAGAUGAGAAAAUUGCCAUUCUCGAGACUUGCUUAUAUAUUUGGAAUACCUUAAAAGAUAGCUUUUCCCCCCAAUAUACUUUAUUAUUAUAAGAUAUUGAAUACUGAAUAUAGUUCCCUGUGCUAUUCAGUAGGAUCUUGUUGUUUAUCUAUUUUAUAGACAGUAGUGUAUCGGAGAAGGCAGUGGCACCCCACUCCGAUACUCUUGCCUGGAAAAUCGCAUGGAUGGAGGAGCCUGGUUGGUUGCAGUCCACGGGGUCGCGAAGAGACACGACUGAGUGGCUUCACUUUCAC
rnacentral:lncRNA from 1 species